UACGUAGGCAGCGAGCGUUGUUCGGAGUUACUGGGCGUAAAGGGUGUGUAGGCGGUUGUUUAAGUUUGGUGUGAAAUCUCCCGGCUCAACUGGGAGGGUGCGCCGAAUACUGAAUGACUAGAGUGCGGGAGAGGUGAGUGGAAUUCCUGGUGUAGCGGUGAAAUGCGUAGAUAUCAGGAGGAACACCAGUGGCGAAGGCGGUGCUCUGGGCCGGAACUGACGCUGAGGAGCGAAAGCGUGGGGAGCAAACAGG
rnacentral:rRNA from 1 species